rnacentral:rRNA from 1 species
AGCGAACGCUGGCGGCAUGCCUAACACAUGCAAGUCGCACGGGGGGCUUCGGCCUCCCAGUGGCGGACGGGUGAGGAACGCGUAGGGACCUGUCGAGGGGUGGGGGAUAACCGCGGGAAACUGCGGCUAAUACCGCAUGACGCCGCGGCGUGACAGCCGGGGCCAAAGGCGAAAGCCGCCCGCCGAGGGGCCUGCGUCCGAUUAGCUGGUUGGCGGGGUAGCGGCCCACCAAGGCGUCGAUCGGUAGCUGGUCUGAGAGGGUGAUCAGCCACACCGGGACUGAGACACGGCCCGGACUCCUACGGGAGGCAGCAGUGGGGAAUAUUGGACAAUGGGCGCAAGCCUGAUCCAGCAAUGCCGCGUGGGCGAAGAAGGUCUUCGGAUUGUAAAGCCCUUUCGGCGGGGACGAUGGUGACGGUACCCGCAGAAGAAGCCCCGGCUAACUUCGUG